UACGGAGGGGGCUAGCGUUGUUCGGAAUUACUGGGCGUAAAGCGCACGUAGGCGGCUUUGUAAGUUAGAGGUGAAAGCCUGGAGCUCAACUCCAGAACUGCCUUUAAGACUGCAUCGCUUGAAUCCAGGAGAGGUGAGUGGAAUUCCGAGUGUAGAGGUGGAAUUCGUAGGUAUUAGGAAGAACACCAGUGGCGAAGGCGGCUCACUGGUCCGGUACUGACGCUGAGGUGCGAAAGCGUGGGGAGCAAACAGG
rnacentral:rRNA from 1 species